AGCUUCGACAAGGACGUGCCAGACGUCGUGCCGCCGAUGCUGGGCCUGCACAAUUACCAGGACGGCGCGUUCGCCGAAGACCUAGCCAAUUACCACGAACGCAGCCACGCCGAUGACUGGUACGGUUUCUGCACACUGCUUUCGCGCACAGGGAGAAGGCCCUAAGCUGCUCGCCCACUGAACUUGUCUACAUGCGUUAAGAUUUAGUUAGGGCGACAUGUUUUCCGCACGGGCGGAUGAUGAAUCUUAAUAAAUGGAAUCGUGAG
rnacentral:lncRNA from 1 species